CCUGGAGAGCUUCAUUUCACAAACAAAUAUUGGUCAUGGGCCUGCAGGGCCCGGGUCAAGGGCAGGACGUGGCUUGUGCCCUCACGUGUUCCUGGUCAGGUGGGCGGUGGAUUGCAACAUGAGAGCCAUCCCCAGCGUAAGGUGCCCUCCCAGAGUCCUGGGUGAGCAGAGGCUAGUGCUCCCUUCUGGGACGUGCUGCCACUGAGGAAGGAAGACCAGGGGAAGCUCCGCGGUCCUCAAUCCAUCCACCUCUUAGGUGUGCUGACCUGUGCUGGGUGCUUGGGGGAGGGGGGAUGCUUCGCCUCCUGAUAACGGAGGACCAAGGAUAAAUGGUCAGGAGCUCUGCACAGCGGGGACCAUGACCUCCAUUUUACAGGCUCCUCUGCUCUGGACGCCAGCUCCCGUGGAAAGCCUGCUGCGAGCCAGGUGCCCGCUCCCCGCGCACUGUCCCCAUUCAACCUCCCAACAACCCAGCGAGGCGCGCAUGGCUCACGACGCUCCCUAUGGGGUGAGGACGCGAGGUGGGGUGGGCAGAUGGUGUGCCCAAAGGCAUAUGGCUAGGGUUCGAGGGCACGUUGACACCUGAAGCGGGACCUCUGGAGCCCAGGGGUCCCUGCCAGGGUACGGUGGGCAUUGCUGGGUCACUGCCAGGGAAGUCCUGCCCUCUCCCUUGGCCCAAGAC
rnacentral:lncRNA from 1 species